GACACGACUCUCGGCAAUGGAUAUCUCGGCUCUCGCAUCGAUGAAGANUGCAGCGAAAUGCGAUACGUGGUGCAAAUUGCAGAAUCCCGCGAAC
rnacentral:rRNA from 1 species